GCAGCGCAAAGACAUAAAACUUUUAUCACAGAAAUCCAUUCCAAAUAAGCAGGACAAAAAUCCUUUUUGAAGAUGCGACACCUAUUUUAAAGUGACAUUAGGGACAGAAGAUAAGCACCCUGGAGAGCUAUUGUGGCCACCUUUCUCACUGCUGCUGGCCGUCCGGAGCGCAACUGGACUCGGGCUGCCUCCCGGGAACUCCUGCUGAAAUGGUUUGCGUGUGCAAAGCGCUGCAGAGGUUAGAGUAGCAGAUACAGGGGGUACGCGGGUGCAGCGCACGGUUUGGGGGAAAAAACCGGUGCGUAUUUACACGCUUCAUCUCAUCACCAAGUCCUCAUUAGGUUGUUAACCUCUUGUUCACAUGAAAAGCCGCCGCGCCGCGCAGGACUCUCGCGCAAGCUCAGGCAUCCCCCUCGAGGCAGAAGACAAAGCCGUUAACUGUGCAAAAUAAGUAAGCAUUUACUCUGACUGCUAUGAAGUUCGCGAGCUUCAUAGUUGUUUUUCCCCCAUUUAAUUCAAGGUCAUUUGGCUGCUACUUGAUAAAUAAUCUAAUUUAAAUAACAUCACAAAAACGCCCAAAUAAAUAAUUUAAAAAACAUCAAGCCAUGAUAUAUUUUUAUGGAAACAUUGUCAAUUUCUUUGCACUAGUGUAUUCUGCAAAUAGCUCCCAGACAUAAUGCCCUUUUCACUAAACAUGCAAAAAGGCUAGGAACAAGUCAUCGUCACAAAAACGACAUGGCCUUCUCAAGCCUUAAAUGGCUAAAUCAAAGACAAGGCCGUAAACCUCAGAUGAGUGUAGACAGCGUUAUCCUUAAUUUAUCGAACGUAACCUAUUAAAUUAGCAGUCGUACUAGCGCGCGGGUUUGUGUGCGCUUGUGUGUGUUUCAGGUACCAGCCAAUUAAAAUGCUCUAGUUCUCCACAUCUGCCUCCCUUUACAAACGACUCGAACAGAAAAGAGGGAGCCCAGUGAAAGAGCGCUCAUUGAGAUCACAGAUGGAGUAUAGGUUUUUGCUGGAAAUUUGAGAAACACCAUUGUCCCAAAUCCAAACUCAGUGUGUUCCUUUACAAUGGUUCCGGCUUUGAGCU